AAACAUUCUCAAAGCUGGAAAGGAAUAGAAAAAUGGUCUAGUGACACAUUGGGUGCCUGUCUUCAUAGCCCAGUUCAAUCCUGAAAGGCUCAUUACCAGGACACUGGCCACCCACCAGAUGAUAAUAUUAUUUUUGUCCCUAGUCCCUCAGGAAAGGUAUCUCUGAAGAUAUGGAGAGGUUGUUGACACCCGUGUCUGCAAAGGGACUAUCAAAAACACCAACAGCCUCAUCAAUUUUAUAUGCUGCUUUUCUCCCAAAGUGCCUCAGGAGACUGUUCUUCAUUCCUGGAAUGCAUUCACCUCUAAUUCAUAGAACCCCUUGUUUUCAGCAAGAUUCAAUUUAAAUGUGACCUUCUGACAUAAAAUCUCCUUCCCUGAUCCUCCAGGAUUUAAGUUCCUUAAUGAGAGCUGUGCUUCUGAUGGACUUCUGGGGGCAUGUGUUUCUGUUUUUGUAUCUUCAUUGAUUAGCAAAAUGCCUUAUCUAUAGGAGGCACGUGUUAAAGGAGUGGAUCUUCAUUUCACAAAGGAGGAAAUGGAGCAAAUGGACUCAGCAUAACAUAAAGAAAAGAUAAGGGAUUAGAAGAUGUCAGUUCAAGUUGGCUCUCUUACCUUCUGGUUAUGUGACCUUAGGCAAGUCAUUUUACCUGUACUCUUGUUCUCAUCUUCCCCCAUAUAAACUGAGGUGAUUGGGAUAUAUGAUUUCUAAUGUUUCUUUCAUCUUAUUGAGAGAUUCAGUUAUGCUUAAGGAUA